CAAAAAUGCUGGUUUGUAAAACCUUGAAAGAGGCUUCAAGAAAAAUCCAGGAGCUGGAAAUGCAAGAUAAUUUGUGCCUGACUCUAGUACGAAGAAUUUUGGGAAGACGGUUUGACCUAAAAAGACCUGUAGCAGUUAACAAGAUGCACAAUAGCACAAAAUGACCACCACCACUUUCACCAUAAAGUGUGUGCUUGGUGUCUGUCUGCACAUGCUUGCUUCUGGAAUGUUGUAGAACAAACUGUGUUGAAACGCCAACUGGAGCUGGUUAUGGACCUUUGCCGCCCUUCAUCCAGAGCCUUCCACAGCGAUGGCCGAUACAUCGCUGCCUGGACCAACAGUUGACCAUGCCGUCCAUGAUAUCAGUAGCAGCCAUGAAAACAUCUACAAAAUUACAUCUGCCUAUUAAUGGAUACAUUCUGCACCACUUCCAUGUGCUGUCAGUUUGAAACGUCUCUACUCUGACAGAAGGAAGGGAAUGAAUCCCCAGGAUUGUUCCUCAGGAAAAUCUCUUCAACAGGCUGUUGUCAGUUUGCAUGCUCUUUGGAUGGAAUUACCCAAGCUUGGCUUGCAGAGGAUCUGUGAUAUAAAAGACCUCUUUUGUGCUUGCAUUGUGUCAUUGAUUUAUUGACCUUAAAGAUAUUUAAUAUGUAUUAUGUGACUAUUGUAAAAACAAAUGGGCUUAUGUUUUAGCAUAUGUUUGCAAACAGACACAUUAUAUUUUUGAAUAACUUGAAAAUACAUUUUGUAGGUUGACUUCACACCAUGAAACAUUAAUGGUAGGUUAUAUUUGACCAGAACAUGACAAGUAUUGUUUUCGGAGUUUGUUGGUCGAAGUUGAAGGUCAUGGCAAACAGUGGUUAUUCUGCACAAUGACCCUUGAAUUCUUUGACCUAGGACCAUUAAUAUUUAGUGAUUGAUAUAUCUCUCCAACUCAUAUGUGAAAGGGACAUGACGAAAUUGAGCAAGAGCUUAUUAGCAUUGCAAAUUAUUAUUUGUGCAUUUUUAGCUCGACUAUUUGAAGAAUAGGUGGGCUAUACUAUCGUUAACAAUUCUGCAUUAAAGUUUUAAUUUUAUGUAAUAAAAUCAAGAGUUUUUAUCCAAUGGUAAUCAAACUUGGUCAGACUAUUUGUCGGCAUGUUAUCUUGAAGAUAUAUGAAUAUGGGUCAUCCCUGGUCAAAUUCUAGGUCACUAGGUCACAUCUUAGAGAAAAUAUUUCCAUGUCACAAAUUCAACAUUUUUUGUCAACUCUUUAUGAAACUUGGUCAGAAUAUUUGUCUGCAUAAUAUCUUAAAAGUUCUAUAAUAUGGGUCACCUCAGAUCAAAAACUAGGUCACAUGGUCAAAUCUUAGGAAAUAUUUUUCUGAUGUCAUAAAAAAAUCUAUGCUUACCAAAGCUAUCCAUAUCAGUUAAUAACUAAAUUCAAUUGUUAUUUAUAAACACACAUCCCAAUCAUGAAUUUCAGAUCUAACCAUAUUUUUCAAAAAUUUAAAUUUUAAUUAACUUUAAAAAUAUUUGUGUACAUGAAAUCUUAGAUGAUAUAAAGUGUGUCGUCUAGGGUCAAAAACUAGGUCUCUGGACAGAUCUUAUUGGAAAAGCUGAUGUAUUUAUCUAUAAAAUGUUCGUUUUUCCUCACAAAAAUGGAAUAGUUUCUGUUGAUCAGGUUAUUUGUAUGAAUGAUAUCUCCGAUAAAUAUAAAUAUGGGUCUUUUUGGUUAAAGUACUAGGUCACUAGCUCAAAUCCUAGGUUUGCAAAAUUGCAUCGUCAAAUAAAAAAACAGCUUUAUGCGGCGUUGCCGCAUUGGCGUCUUGUUAUUUUUUUUAUUUUGAAAGGCACAUUUUUAUUGCUUUUUACAGGCACAUAUCACACUAUUAUUGUAUUCACGUCCAAGAGGCGUAGUAGAGCGCACUGUUUUACGACAGCUCUUGUUAACCUGUCAAGUGAAACCUGAUUAUAAAAAUGACAUGACUGUGUCAUUGUGUUGGCUGGCCAGGAGGAGGGCAGCAUCAAAUACAUCUACAAACUUAGUAUACAAAGUAUUAUAGAGACCUCUCAUGGAAUUGCUUUCGGGGCCCAUAGGAUCAAGGUCACUAAAACAAAAAAAAACUAUUGAAACUUAAUCGCACACCAAAGGCUUAAUUAAUUAGGGUUUUCUGUCAAUCACUGAAAACUUGUUUUUUUUGCAUUGCAGCAUUUCUUGCUUAAUUCUUAUUUUGUCUCUUUAUUGCAUAUUACCUUUAUCAUUAUUGUAUUCAUUUCUAAGACAAAGCAGCAUAUAGUUGAGGGCACUGCCCCAUGACAGCUCUUGUAUAUCCUAAAAAGAAUACAAUAGUGAUAUACCCUGAUAUAGGUAGUUUUGGUACAUAAUCACGGUUUAAAGUCUAGCUUUACUGGCCAAAGAUCAGAAGAUCUGAUGUGAUGGUAAUGUGUACGUAGUAUGUGCUUCCGAACGCCUGUAAACAGUUGCUUGUGAACACCAUACAGUCUUUAGUUAUGAUUGUAUCUCAAUAAAAUAGUAUUUAGAUAUCCAAUAGAGCUCGGUUCCUUUCGAAAACCAGUCAGAUCUGCCAAUGCAUGCCUAGAUUAUGGGCCUUGAACGUCUGUGCGUCUGUAAACAAUUGCUUGUGAACAUGAUACAGUCUUCAGUUUUAAUUGUAUAUAGAUGAAACUUGUACAGUAUUAAGAUAUCAAUUAGAGCUUGGUUCCUUUCGAAAACCAGAUCCGCAUGUGCAUGCCUAGAUUAUGGGCCUCAAAAGUUAAAAAAAAUGCUAUUUUUAGGUUAGUCUAUUUUUAGCCAAGUCUACAUGAGCGAAGUCUGUUGUUAGACAAGUUUACAUGUAAAGUCACAAAUUCAUGUGAAAAAUUGUUCAAAUUAGGUCCCUGGGGUCAUUAUUGGCCACGCCAUUGCGUUCACAGGUUUGGUAUACUUAAAUUGAGAAAUGUUUGAAUAUCUUUGUCUGAAACAACUGUGCAGACCCUUGUUAUUUUGAAUAAGGAUUAUUUUAGUGGUCUGCUACCAUGGUUGUUCAAAUUAUGCCCCUAGGGUCAAAACUGGCACUGCCCCCCGGGGUCACAAGUUUUUUAAGAAAUAUUUUCAAAAUCUUCUUGUUUCAAACCACAAGGCUCAUAUCUUUGAUAUUUAUUGUGGAGCAUUGUAAUAUUAUGUAGACCGUCUAGCAAAACAGCUGAAAUUAUGUGCCCUGGGCCGGGGCCAAAGCUGGCCCAAUCCCUUUUGUCCUUUUAAAGCUACAAAAAUGAAAUUUUGACCAAUAGUACAGUUUUGUAGCAAAUUUUAUUCUCCUCAGAUGACCUUUACUUGGCACAUAUUAGAAUACUAGUAGUUCAUGCCAUUAAUAUGCUUACAACACUUUCUGUUCUCAGAUGUUGAAUGUGCAAUGUUUUAAGCUAACCCAAACACAAAAUGUGAACAAUAUGUUUGUUGGCUAUUACUCAUACAUACACGCUCUGGAUUAAAAAUAACCACAUGAGCCAUGCCAGUAGAGCAUAGGCACUCAUGGGCCUCUUGUUUUUUUUAGAAAAAAAGCAUACUGACCAACCCUAUUUAUUUUAGAGAAGUUAGCUGAAACUAAGAACUUUUUUUACCUUACUUUUAUAUUAGAUAGUGUAUUGAAAGAUUUUUGCUUAAAGCUCCAUUUAAGGUAACUGUUCAUCUCAAAUGUAAUAGCUUUUGCCUUCAAACUUUUAAAAGUUCAUUGAACCAGUGGGUUCAUCAAGAUGUAUAUCUGUAAAUGUUUCUCCCUAAUAUGGGCUUUUAUGUAUGCGAACAGAACAUUGAACAAUUGGCUUUCUGUGUAAAGUAAACCCU